CACCUCUACGGUAUCAGGUCACG
rnacentral:miRNA from 1 species